UACAGAGGGUGCGAGCGUUGUCCGGAAUCACUGGGCGUAAAGGGCGCGUAGGUGGCGCCGCAAGUCCAUGGUGAAAGCUCGAUGCUCAACAUCGAGUCGGCCACGGAGACUGCGGGGCUCGAGCACUGUAGGGGCAGAUGGAAUUCCGGGUGUAGCGGUGGAAUGCGUAGAGAUCCGGAAGAACACCGGUGGCGAAGGCGGGUUGCUGGGCCGACACUGACGCUGAAGCGCGAAAGCUAGGGGAGCGAACGGG
rnacentral:rRNA from 1 species